GACGAACGCUGGCGGCGUGCUUAACACAUGCAAGUCGUACGGUAAGGCCCUUUCGGGGGUACACGAGUGGCGAACGGGUGAGUAACACGUGAGUAACCUGCCCACAACUUUGGGAUAACGCUAGGAAACUGGUGCUAAUACUGGAUAUGUGCUCCUGCUGCAUGGUGGGGGUUGGAAAGCUCCGGCGGUUGUGGAUGGACUCGCGGCCUAUCAGCUUGUUGGUGGGGUAGUGGCCUACCAAGGCGGCGACGGGUAGCCGGCCUGAGAGGGUGACCGGCCACAAUGGGACUGGGAUACGGCCCAGACUCCUACGGGAGGCAGCAGUGGGGAAUAUUGCACAAUGGGCGCAAGCCUGAUGCAGCAACGCCGCGUGCGGGAUGACGGCCUUCGGGUUGUAAACCGCUUUCAGCAGGGACGAAGCUUUUUGUGACGGUACCUGCAGAAGAAGCACCGGCUAACUACGUG
rnacentral:rRNA from 1 species